GACGAACCGUGCAAACGUUGUUCGGAAUCACUGGGCUUAAAGGGCGCGUAGGCGGGCAGACAAGUCAGGGGUGAAAUCUUUCGGCUUAACCGGAAAAUAGCUUUUGAUACUGUCUGUCUCGAGGGAGGUAGGGGCAUGUGGAACUUCCGGUGGAGCGGUGAAAUGUGUUGAUAUCGGAAGGAACUCCGGUGGCGAAAGCGACGUGCUGGACCUCUUCUGACGCUGAGGCGCGAAAGCUAGGGGAGCAAACGGG
rnacentral:rRNA from 1 species